rnacentral:rRNA from 1 species
AUUGAACGCUGGCGGCAGGCCUAACACAUGCAAGUCGAGCGAGCGGCGGACGGGUGAGUAAUGUAUGGGGACUGCCCGAUAGAGGGGGAUAACUACUGGAAACGGUAGCUAAUACCGCAUACUAUCGGAUAACCCAUAUGGGAUUAGCUAGUAGGUGAGGUAAUGGCUCACCUAGGCGACGAUCCCUAGCUGGUCUGAGAGGAUGAUCAGCAACACUGGGACUGAGAACCGGACCAGAGUCCAACGGAGGCAGAGGUGGGGAAUAUUGCACAAUGGGCGCAAGCCGGAUGCAGCCAUGCGGCGUGGAUGAAGAAGGCCCUAGGGUUGUAAAGUACGUUCAGUCGGGAGGCGGUACCGAAAGAAGAAGCACCGGCUAACUCCGUGCCAGCCGCCGCGGUAAUUC